rnacentral:lncRNA from 1 species
UUUUGAAGUCCUCCCUGCCCUACCUGUAGAUCCUCAGGAGUGAUAUCUGCAUCUAAAAAGAUGUAAAAAGGAAGGGGUGAGCAUUUCCACAUUGCUCAGUAGGGUGCCUAACACCCAAGGGGUUAAGGGGAUUACUAAGUUCCAAAGAAUACAAAAAGAACAUUUCAACACAACAGAAACAUUUCAACAGUAUCAAUCAAACCACAUAGUUUAAUAUCUAAUAUUAUACACAAUUCCACACAUUCAACAAUUAAAUGAAUGCACAUGAAUGUGUGACACACAAUCAUACAAUGCACUAUUAUUCUCGGGCUUUCACCGAAGGAUACGCGUCCGCACCCAAAUACACUCCCUAUUCGGAGUCUUCCCGGGGUAAACUUUUGGGUCUUUCACCCUAGGGAUCUCUCUCCCUUCUUAAUUUGCCUCACACGGACUUUCACUUUUCAUCACUAUUUCAUUUUUUUCCAUUUCAUACACUUUUCACAAUUUUCAUAAUUUCUUCACACAACCAUGAUGCAAAUAAAUGCCACAAUUCCAAAGUUCCUCAAUAAUUUCAACAAUUUCAACAUUCCCCAAUAAUCCAAUAAAAUAAAUUUUCCACAUUAAAAUUUCCGAAAAUAUCCCAAAUAAAUAUUCAAAAAUUUGCAUAUCAAUAAACUUGAAAAUAUACCACACUUACGGACAUUUUCAACCAUUCUAAUAAUUUCUAAUAUUCGAAAUUAACUAAUUUUCCACCAUAAAAAUUCCGAAAAUAUUCCAACCAAUGCCCAAAAAUUCACAUAUCACUAGAUUUGAAAUUAAACCCUAAUUUCAUAAUUUUCCAACACUUCUAAUAAUUUUUAACAAUUCAAAACAAUUAAUUAUCAACCAAAAACAAAUUCCCGAAAUUACAAAAAUUCCAAACAAAUUCCAAAUAAUACAGGAAAAUUUCAUACAACACCCAUAUUACCUAUUUAACUCAUAAUGAUAAGAUUUACAAAUUUUUUUUAAAGGAAGACGCAUUAAAUUUAAGUUUUAGGGUUAGGUUCCCCUACCACAGAUCUAAUAAUUCAAUCGUUAAAAACACGAUCGGCCACCGUAGGAUUGUUCCUCUCGUCGAGUAGAGCACCUCCUUAAAAUUUGAGCCGAAAUGGAGGUCGUUUGGCCACCCAAAUGGUCAGUCAAAGUUCUGGCGAGAUGCAACUUCUCCACAGUGCCGUCGCUGCUCCUUUUCUCACCCAUUCUGCCACUGUUUAAUUGAUUUUCCUUUCUUUUUACAAAGCCCAUUUCAUUUUGUUAUUUUAAUCCACCAGCCACCACGAAGUCCACGGCCCAAGAGCCCAAAAGCCCAACUACCCUUUUAUUUCUUUCUUUUGAAACCCAAUUCAUCCAAGCCCAAAUCGAUUCCCUUUUUAUUUUUGUUUUCAAAAGCCUACUUUCAUCCACUCACAACCACUGCCCACGGCCCAAAUCCAGAGGCUCUAAUUAAUCUUUUUGUUUAUUUAUUUUCUUUUCUUUGUUUUCAUUUGGUUAUUUUCCAUUUCCAAUUUCAUUUCAUUUUUUUUUUAACAACACAAAUUAAUUUAUUAAACACCAACAAAAAAAAUAAUUUAAUUAAUUUUUUUUACUUAAUUAAUUUUAAUCAAUUUACUUUUCAUUUUCAUUUUCAUUUUUCUUUUCCGAAAUUUCUCAAUUUCUAAAAUCGUAAGAACUUUUCUAUUCUAAGGCUGGCAUGGCACAAAAAUUUCAACUCGCCUAAUUGACCAACACAAUAAACCGAAUUUCACCAAUCCAAAAUUAACAUGUGUUCUCCAAACACUUUUCUUUUUGACUUUUCAACCAUCACUCAAAAUAAGACUUUUCAAAAUAAAAAAGCUAACGUGGCAUAAAAUACCCGGUCAUUACAUGCAUGCACAGAUUUCCAAUGUAUUCUUCCUUCAUUUUCAGGAGAAUUCCCUAGUCUUCUUCUCUAACCAACUCUGCAUUUAUUUGGGUCCUCCCAUUGUUUAUAUUCAAGGGGGCAAUCAAGAAGAAUAAUACGAGGGUUGGCAAUCUUUCUUUUCAUUUUUCUAAGGGCCACAACAUCUUUGUUAAUCAUAACUCCUUUAAGAACCUUGGAAUCUUCCAACUAGCCACCAAGGACUUUCUCAACCUUUAUGUUCUUCUUAAUGUCCACUUCUCUCUAGGACAACAUGCACAGCAAUCACUUUACAAUAUUGUAUUCCUUCUUUCGGUCUGUAUACACACGUCAUCCUCUUCAUGGACCUAUUCAACCUAGAGAGAGGAUUUUGGCCAGGUAGACCUUUGAACCCAUUCCGAAAUAACCCUUUUUUUAGGUAAUCUCUUGAUAGCGCUGGAAGCAUAUCAAUUCUUGUAUCGGCACAAUGCGAAUCAAAUUGAAACUCUUGUUCUCCCCAUUAUGCACCCAAAACUAUCACCUUUCUAUCAGCUAUGAGCUUCCUCGCCUCAAAGCAUGCAACCUCAAGCUCACUUGGCUUCUCAUAAUGGUACCGAAAGUCCCUACCCAUCAUAUCACCAAUCUCAACAAGACAAAAACUUGAGAAAUAAGGGCCUUGACAAAUGUGCAUCUUCCCUGAAGAUGUUCUCAAGAAAGCAGAUGCUUGAUCCAGUCGCAAUAACAGAGAAUGGAGGAUAAAGUAGCAGCACAACAAACCUUGUAUUCUAAUCUUUCUUAAUUUGCUUGUUUGCUUCCUUAAUGAAUAGAUACCAAGUAACGCAUGCCAACAUAGACAUUUACAUGCGUGUUCUUUGCUUCCAAAGCUGCUUUAAUUACAUAUACUUGCUCAUCGGUGAUUUUUCAUAAAGGUGAACCACUUCCUAUUGCAACAUACCAUUCUUUACCAUUGGAAGCACGGAUCACAUAAAUUAAUUGAGCCAAUGGUCGUUGAAGAAACUGAAACAGCCUUAAAAUGGACAAAAGGCUUUUUUGAAAGCCCGAACACAGUCUUUGGCACCAUAGUGUGGUCCAAAACUCACUGAUCACAGAGACUUUAAUGUGCAGAGCAUGGUGUUAGGACUGAAAAGAAAGCGACUUGUAUAAAGGUAGCUUCAAUGGGUAUGAAUGUUUGGGGAUGGUGAACUUGGCAUGGAGCGAUGCUACUCAAGGCUUAGAUAUGACAGAAGAGGGACUUAAAUGGAGGGCUUGGAGAAGGGUUUAGGGUGACCCUUGCAUGGUGAUCACGUACGCAUGGGAAACGAGUAGUGGUCUGGCUGGGUAGGCAUGAGCAAGGUUGAAGGUAGAGAGAUGAAUGAGUGUGGUAGGUGUAGGGAAUGAAUGAUGGAUGGUAGGUAUGGUGACUGCGAAACCAAGGUUUGGUUAAUCUUGAUUUUGAUGAUAACAAAACAAGGUUUAGAACUAAUGAUUAUAUUUCAAGUGUGAUUAGGCAAGACGAUUUCCAAAGUGGCAAUCACAAAGACAAAUCAAGCCAAGAAGAAAUCAUGAAGAAAAAGACCACCUCAAAGAGAAGUGUUUUUCAAGACCUAAGCUUCAUAAGAUCUCUUUGUAAGGUUGUUGGUGCACUAGGAUUUUCAUGCACUACAUUCUUCACUUAUGCACCAAAAUCGUCCAAUAGUUAUUUUGUUUUAAAUAUCUUAAGAAUUGGAUGAUUUCUUGUUUUCAACUAAAACCUUAUAUUAAAUAUUUUUCAAACUUGUUUUAAAGGGUUUUAAGUUGAAAAAGUUGGGUGUUGAGCCAAAAAAUGGCUCAAUCGGUUGAACCGAGUGAGGAACCGGUCGACCGCAAGCUCAACCGGUCGAGGUCUGGGUCGACCCCCAACUCAACCGGUCAAGGUCCGGGUUGACCCACAGCUCAAUCGGUCGAGGCCCGAGUAGACCCCCAGCUCAACCGGUCGAGGGUGCAAAAAACUCUCUUUCUUCCAGAACGGUUGUUCAACCGGUCAAGGAUGAACCUCAAUCGGUUGAGGUCCGGUUGAGGUCCGAUCGAGGUCCAACGGUCACCUGCCAAGCAUUAAAUGCUAACGGCUAGUCAACCGGUCGACCCCUAGCUCGAUCGGACGAACCCCAAAACGGCUAGUUUGGCUUUUCUCUUCUAUAAAAAGGCUCUAAUCUUCAUUGUUUCAAAAGCUUAACCUUCCCAAACAUUUCUUGAUCAUAUUUGAGCCUUGGAAGAGUGUUUUUGAGUGCACCAUUGUUCUAAAACUUGCAAAUCUUUAGUGCACCCUUCAAUCCUAGUUUUCUUGUAUCAUUUGAGCUUAAAGUUCUUGUGCUAGGAUUUUGUGAGAUCUUUUAUUUGUAAAUCUUUGAGAGGAAGUCUCAAGUGUGGGGUAUCACUUAAGGGGUUGUUCAAGAGCGGGAUAUCUCUUGAGAAUUGUAAAGGGUGCUUGGAGCCAAAAGUCCAAGAGGGUGAAUUGAAACCAUAAUCCAAUUGUAUUACUUGAAGGCUUGGUUUGGAAGCCUUGAAUUAGUGGAACCUCAAGCUUGGGAUUGAAGUUAGAGGAGAGUGGAUGUAGGCCGGGUUGUGUCGAACCACUAUAAACUCUUGUGUUUGCAUUAUCUCUUCCCUACUCUUUUAAUUUAUAUGCAAUUGUAUUUAUAUUGCCUACCAUAGGUUGAAUUAGCCUAAUAUUCCUAACAGUGACGUAUAUGAGAGAUAUGAAGGGUGAUGAGAAGUGGAUUAGUGGUGACGUGAUAGAUAUGUAAAUUUGGAAAAUGAGAAGGGUGAUAGGUAAAAGAAAUGGGUAUAGAUGAUGGUCGGGUUUGCAUGGCUCCCAUGCAUGUGGGUGGAUGAAUCUGGGAUGUCAACAAGGGCUUUAGAAGGAGCUUUGGACAACCAUGCAUGUCAAGAGGAAUUCAACCUCACUCUGAUCAUUUAAAACGGGCAAGCACCGUAACAGUAGCAUCCUUCAUAGUGGAUUUCCACCCAUACCCAAUCCACGAGUCAAAAGUGCUCUAAGUUGGGCAAAAUCCAUCAGCAAUAGCAAAAGAAAGAGUUCUUAAGUGAUCAGCAAUAACCACGUAUGCCAUGUCAACUUUGUCUGUAUCAUUUAAUCCAACUUUCCCUGAAUAUGGUUAAGCAUCAGCCGCCAAAAUGUAUCUCGGUGCAAGACCCUCAAGGACCAGUAUCACUCAUCUCCUAGAAAUUGUUGUUACAACCAGAGGGCAAUACACGUCCAGGUGGCAAAGCUUGAGCAAAAAAAAAAAAAAAAUCCCUGGCUUAGAGAGCUCAGCAGGUGGGUGGUAGUGGAGAAGGAAAUUAUGGCACCUUAAUAAAUGCAAAUGUAGUCCCAGGGAAUGAGCCAAAAUUUUUCUCUAAAAGUUUUCUGUACAUAAUUUAGAGCCAAAAGCUAGCGCUCUGCUCCGACCCAAAAAAGGGUCGAUUCGGUAAUAGGAAAAGCAAAGACGAUAGCAAGUGACCCACAACAUUCGUGGAUAGGACUUCGCCAAAAUUUUCCUCUAAAAGUUUUCUGAUCAUAAUUUACUUCUCAGUGCCCGAACCCUUCUGCAAUAUCUUUUCUAAUUAAUGAAUUUCUUGAAAUGGGGCAGUUUCAUCGAAUGUCAUCAAUUUCUAUAUCCAUGUAAAUGUAGCAUCUAAGUAGCAAACUGAACUUAAGAAAAAGCAGAGGAAGUGAAAGUCCAGAAAUGAAUCUCAACCUAAACCCCCUUACCUUUCAACCUGGGAAGUUUCCUACUCUUUCUCUCCGUCCCAGAUCUUCCAACGUCUCUAUUGCUUCCACCAUCACCUCUGGCUCCGAGUGAGUGUCUUUCGUCGAAAAUGUUCCUUGGAAAAUUCAUUUAAUUCUCAAAAUAUUCUAUGAAUGGAUAGAUCUUGCCGAUGUUCAUUGAAAACAGGAGGAAGCAAAGGCCCAAAGUAUGCAUCAUUUUUAAGGCACAACCAACAUGAAUAGCAGCCAAAC